rnacentral:lncRNA from 1 species
UUAAACUUUCGGUGCAGCCAUCUUAUUAAUUAUUCCAUAAAGAUUUAACAAAAGUAUACAUUAAUCCAUCCAAAGCCACCCCUCACACCUACAAACUCGAUAAUGUAAAGUGCUCUUACUUCACAUAUCUAAUACCGGUGUUGUUUUCAAUUCAUCCACAUAACGUAUCGAGAACAACAGCCGAUACAGCACACCUAAAAUGCACAACUUACGCACACGCUUUACCAGCCGCCAUCCAUGCAUGCAUGCACGCCCAUAUGCAUAUGCAUGACGACACGCAUCGUCCGAUCUGGUGAAUGUAAUUAGCAACCACCAGCUGAAAAGGAAAAAGAAGAACUUAGGGAUCAUGAGUCGUGUCAGCAGCUAGCCAGCUAAACACGACCCGAUCCUAAUCCUGUCAAGCAUCAAUUGAUUCCAACAGCCGAGCAAGGCUGGAUGGAACCCAACGAC